rnacentral:rRNA from 1 species
AGAGCGAACGCUGGCGGCAGGCCUAACACAUGCAAGUCGAGCGCCCCGCAAGGGGAGCGGCAGACGGGAGAGUAACACGUGGGAACGUACCCUUUGGUUCGGAACAACACAGGGAAACUUGUGCUAAUACCGGAUAAGCCCUUACGGGGAAAGAUUUAUUGCCAAAGGAUCGGCCCGCGUCUGAUUAGCUUGUUGGUGAGGUAACGGCUCACCAAGGCUACGAUCAGUAGCUGGUCUGAGAGGAUGAUCAGCCUCACUGGGACUGAGACACGGCCCAGACUCCUACGGGAGGCAGCAGUGGGGAAUAUUGGACAAUGGGCGCAAGCCUGAUCCAGCCAUGCCGCGUGGAUGAUGAAGGCCCUAGGGUUGUAAAGUCCUUUCGACGGGAAGAUAAUGACGGUACCCGUAGAAGAAGCCCCGGCUAACGUUCGUGCCAGCAGCCGC